CCCAAAGUGCUGGAAUUACUGGCAAGAUCCACCACACCCAGUCUAAAUGCAUCUGAAUAUAACAUGACUCUCCUAGAGAAAAACCUGGAACCCAGAGCACCUGAAUAGAAACUCUUAAUUAUAUCAAUGAGGAAUAGUUAACUUAGCCAAGUUUCCAUUGAAUAUGAAGAACUGUAAAAUAAUGUCAGUUCUAGCCAAGAACUGAAAAGUAAUGUCAGUACUCUAUAAUGUGUAAUUCAUAGUUGCUACAUGUAAUCAGGCUUGGCCAAUUGUUUCCAGGAAGAUGGCACCCUCAUUUCUGAAUGAGGAUGACCAUUUUCCACUAAUCCAGAGGUAAAACAGUCAUUGUAACUGCACUGAAAUUUGCUGUAUCAAGUGAGACAUGAAGGUAAAUGUCAUUGGCCCAGAGUAAUUAGUCUUUUCCAGUGCUUAAAGGAAGGGAGAGAAACUAAUGCCUAUUGAGUGCCUUCAAAGCUUCUGCAAUGUGCUGGUACCCACAUGUUUCCAAUUAUUCCUCACAACACUAUGGAGAGGUUAUUUUGCCUGUUUUGCUGAUCAGGGAACUGAGACUCACAGAGUGACACCAACCCAUCAGUAUUUCAGGUUUCUGGGGAGGGUCCAGAGAGCAAGGGGGAAGCUGCUAAUUGCUUGUUGGUUCAAGAGAAAUGUUAUCUCAGUAGACUAACGUAUGGACUUUCUGAUGUCAGAAAAUGCAAACUAUGUAGUGUAACCUGUUUGCCAUUUUUUCUUUGUAUCCGCAAACUGACAGCAAAAUAUAUUGCACAAGUAUUAUAAAUCUGUUCAGUUCAAGUGCCAGAGAACAUUUACUCUGCUUCCUUCAUGAGUGGUGAGCAUGCCUGCUCCCCUACAAACUCACCAGCUCAGAGCAUUAUCAGGCUUCUCAUCUCUGCCAACCUGCCGCUGAGGUGGGGAUUAUUAGCACGCCCUUUGCAGAUGAGGAAACUGAAGCCCAGGGAGCUUUGGCAACCUGCCCAAGGUCACACAGCCAGUGAAGGAAAGGGCUGAAAUCAAACCAGGCCUGUCUGACUGCAAGGCAGGGUCUUACGGCUGCCUCCGGUGGGUAGGUCCGGGACCCAGCUGGUUUCCGUCCUGUGGCUCAGGUGCGAGGAGAGCCUCCCUGGGCCACCUGGGGAAGUCUGACUGACGUGCCAGAUCCUCACAGAACAAAGGAGAGAAGGGGACUCCUGAGAGGCCCCAGCAGCGUUAUCUGGGCAGAGAAAGUGAGUUUGAAGACCUCACACUCCAUCUGGACUUUAUCAGCUCCUUUCCUGGCACCCCCUCUCUCAGCACCAGGGAGCUCCUCCAGGAGCACUUCCUCCCAUGUCUGUGUUCGCCGUUAAGACUGGACACACCAGGAUGAUCUUUCAACUUUGGGUCCAAAGGCCCUCAGUGGAUGUAAAAUAGGUACAUGAGGCCUUGAACUGAACAUUUUUUUCACUUCACCAUAACCUGGAUUUUCCCAGUUUAGGAGCAUCUGUUUGUCUUGAUAACGUUUGGAACAAAGUGAAAAAAACUGGACUUUGAAGAGAACUUCAGGUGAAUUACACAUUUAAGUCAGAUUUUCCAUGUCUUUGUCCCAUGUUCAGUAAUUCAAGCUGUUAGGAGCCCUCAACUUUGUACAUAUAUUUCCUUCCUAUCUCUGCCUCUUCAUACCUGGUACUUACCGUGGAAUUUGAAAUCUUUCUGUGGCUGUAAGCAAGAAAGGCGGGAAAAAUACAAGAAGUUAAAGGGGA